rnacentral:tRNA from 1 species
GGAGAUGAAGUUAAUUUUAAUAUAGGAUUGUCAUUCUUAAGAUGUUGUUUCUCAACCUUCUCUU